rnacentral:rRNA from 1 species
GACGAACGCUGGCGGCGUGCUUAACACAUGCAAGUCGAACGGAAAGGCCCUGCUUUUGUGGGGUGCUCGAGUGGCGAACGGGUGAGUAACACGUGAGUAACCUGCCCUUGACUUUGGGAUAACUUCAGGAAACUGGGGCUAAUACCGGAUAGGAGCUCCUGCUGCAUGGUGGGGGUUGGAAAGUUUCGGCGGUUGGGGAUGGACUCGCGGCUUAUCAGCUUGUUGGUGGGGUAGUGGCUUACCAAGGCUUUGGAGGGUAGCCGGCCUGAGAGGGUGACCGGCCACAUUGGGACUGAGAUACGGCCCAGAGUCCUACGGGAGGCAGCAGUGGGGAAUAUUGCACAAUGGGCGGAAGCCUGAUGCAGCAACGCCGCGUGCGGGAUGACGGCCUUCGGGUUGUAAACCGCUUUCGCCUGUGACGAAGCGUGAGUGACGGUAAUGGGUAAAGAAGCACCGGCUAACUACGUG